rnacentral:rRNA from 1 species
CGCCAGCAGUGGAGUAUGUGGUUUAUUCGAAGCAACGCGAAGAACCUUACCAGGUCUUGACAUCCAACUAACGAAGUAGAGAUACAUUAGGUGCCCUUCGGGGAAAGUUGAGACAGGUGGUGCAUGGUUGUCGUCAGCUCGUGUCGUGAGAUGUUGGGUUAAGUCCCGCAACGAGCGCAACCCUUGCUAUUAGUUGCUACGCAAGAGCACUCUAAUAGGACUGCCGUUGACAAAACGGAGGAAGGUGGGGACGACGUCAAAUCAUCAUGCCCCUUAUGACCUGGGCUACACACGUACUACAAUGGAUGUUAACAGAGGGAAGCAAGACAGUGAUGUGGAGCAAACCCCUAAAAACAUUCUCAGUUCAGAUUGCAGGCUGCAACCCGCCUGCAUGAAGAUGGAAUUGCUAGUAAUCGCGGAUCAGCAUGCCGCGGUGAAUACGUUCCCGGGCCUUGUACACACCGCCCGU